UUCAUGCUGGUGAGUGUGGUGUCCCAACCACAGACGGAGGGGCUGUCACGCGGCGGGUCCCACCUCCCACUCUGUCAUGGCGGGAUUUUUGUCAUGUUUUUCAGAUUUCUCUGGAAUCCCCUUGGCCAAGAAGGGUCCAUUCAGCUUGUUGGUGCGGGAGCUCAGGAUUUCAUUUUUAGUUCUCACAUGGCAGGUGAGUGAAAACGUUAUAAGGGACUAUCCAAACCUUUCCCGAAGUGGCUGUAGUAUCUUAACUCUCACCAGUCGUGUGUGACAGUUUUGGUGUCUUUAAAAGUCGGUGGUGUCAAGAUUUCACAACUACCUCUUCUGCUGAUUGUGUGGUUCUAUCUGUUCGUGGCUUAAACUUGCAUUUCCCUCAUGACAAAAAGUGUGAAACCAUCAGUCAUGAACUGUCUGUCCAUUCCAAUCUCUUCUGUUCAUUUUUAAAGUGGGGCUGUGUAUCUUUUUAUUGAUUUAUGAUCAUUCUUUCUAUAUUCUGGAUACAAGAUUUUUGUGUGGGAUUUGUUUUGCAGUAUCUCCCCAGACUUCCUGGUCAUUUUCUUUGUAGUGUCUUUUGAUAACUAGAGCAUUUUCCUUCGGAUAAAGCCAAAUUGAUUAUUUUUAAAUGUGCUUGUCACUGCUUUUUCCUCCCUGCCAGGAAGUGUUUGUGCACUCUCAGGUCACACAAGAGAUGGUAAUUUGUCAGUGAGCUGAGGAAGGCAGAUCUGGCCUCAGCUAUGAGGGUGGGUAGCACCCAGCCCAUUGCAGACCCAGACUCCGGAGGUUCCUCUGUCUUCUUGGGCUGGGGCGUCCAUCUCCUCCUGCCCGCAGACACAGGAGUUUCUGGGUCCCAGGCCUUGCGCUCUGGGACUGACACCAGCGGUUUGGGCUUGGACUGAAUGACGCCACCCGCUGUUCGGGUUCACUGGCUUAGGGACAGCGGUUUGUGGGACUUCUCAGCCUCCGUGAUCAAGGAGCCGAUUCCUGUAAUAAAUCUCCUCCUAAACGUAUCGCCCAGCAGCUCUGUUUCUCUGGAGAACCCUGACUCACAUAUGGGGGCCUAGAGGUUUGGUUGUAGCAGGCCCCAGGCCCUGUUCCAGCACCUGGCAGUACCCCCAGCUGAUGGGCCCCAGGUGGGGAGGGACAGCCGGCCUGAGGGAGGUGCCUCCUGGGCCCCACCGUGGGCUCCCGUGCAGACAGGCAGGGUGGGGAGCAAGGACAAGGCUGUCCCCUCCUCUGGCCUCCGUCUACAGGUGGGACUUCUUUCCAGCCCUUUCUGUGGGUGGGGGGUGCACACGGGCAGGCCAGCCCCAGGCGCCCUCAGGACCGCACCCUAGGCCUGCCCUGGGGGGAGUGGGGAUGGGGCUGGGGCCUCACCUUGCUCAGGACCCAACCCUGGUGCAGCUCCACUCCUGGCUUUUCGCCUGCAGGACAGAGGGGCCUGGAGUGGCCUGGCCCUGCCGUGGGCAGCAUGGCGUGGGCAUGCAGGGCGCAGACUGACCACUCUGUUCCCACACCUGGCUCAAGGUGGGUCGAGGGCCUUCCCAGCCUUCUCAGAGCUAACCCAGAGGAGUGCACAGGACAGCUCGUCUCCCCCGAGAGCCACAGGGAGUGCUGGACCCGCCUGAGCGGGGGGCAUAUGGGGCUCAGCACAGCACUGUGGGGCCUGGAUGAGAAGCCGCUGGUCUCUUCUGCCCCUCCCUGACAUUGAGGACUGGAACCUUGGGGAGCCUUGGGUGAGGUCGCCUCCCAGGAAGUCCUGAGCUGAGACAUCGCGGGCCCAUUUUGAGGUGGCUGUGAGGGGUACAGGUGAGUGUACUUGGGGUUCCUUCAAGGCCAGGCCCAGCAGGUCACCUGCAGAAGGCCUUGGGCAGGUGCCCCCCACCCCGUCCUGGAACACCAUUCUUCCCCAUCGCCCCAGAGGACCAGGCCCAGGCAAGGCUGGGAAUGCUUAGCCGACCUGCUCAGCAUGAAGCUCCUGCCCCAACCCCCUCCUUCCAGGUGCCCGGCCUGGGCUCUGCCAGAGGCUGAGGUGCCCAGGGUGUCAGGACGGCCACCCUGAAGGCCCUACCCCUUUAUAGGAAAUAAAGUCUUCUUUCCAAAUUUAUAGAUGUGGGAUUUGUUCAGUGGACAUAGCUCACCCGGGGCAUUUUAGGAAUUUACCCAAAAGACAUAAAAGUCUGCGUUUACAGAAAGAAUAGACCAAAAUGCUAACAGCAGCUUUAUUCAUAGUAGUAAGAACUAAAAUCCACCCACAUGGGCAUCAUCAGAAAAACGGCCAAGCUGUGGCUCUUCAUGACAUGGCUUCAAGUCAGCAAUGAAAAGGAACAAAAUUCUCAACCAUGUUCAAGGGACAUGAACCCCAGGGACAGGGCCCUCUCUCAAAACAGGCAGGUCCAACCCACGUGUAGCUCGUGGUCCCAUUCCUCUGCAGGCUCCGGACAGAAAGCGGGAAGCUAGAAUCACAUAACCCACAAGAGUGGACCCUCCCGCUGGGGAAGGGCGGGGAGGACCGGGAACCCACGAGAGUGGACCCUCCUGCUGGGGAAGUUCAGGGAGGACCAGGAACCCACAAGAGUGGACCCUCCCUCUGGGGAAGUUCAGGGAGGACUGGGAACCCACAAGAGUGGACCCUCCCGCUGCGGAAGGGCAGGGAGGACCAGAGGACUCGGGGAUGAUGAAGACGUUCCAGCUCCUGACGCUGGCGAGACUCACGCUGCUGACACCUGUCACAGUGCACGGGCUCACACUUAACUUUUGUGUGUUUCACGUUGUUUUCAUAUUCUGGUGUAAGUUUGUUUUAUUUCUCUAGAAAGAAGCAAGGGCUGUGAAUGGUGAUUAAACGUUCCUUCUCAGGUUUGCCUGUGCGUGGGGUAGAGGUGGACCACGCAGACCCUCCCUGCUGUGAGCUCCGUGGAGGGUCAAUGCAGAUGCAGGGAGACUGUGGGGCCCGGUAUCCGCGACGCUGGACAAGGGGGUUCCCGCUCUGGAAGGAGGAGUCAAGGUCUCCAGUGGUGUCGGAUUAGAAUAUGAGGAAUCCGUCUGAGCUCAUUCUCCACAGGAUCCCACGAGGGAAAGCCUGGCUUUUCCCUGUGCAGAUGCCAGGCCUCUACAGGUUCCAGAAGGUUCCUCUGCUCCUCUGAGAGGGCAGGGCACUUGCACAGGGAACAGGCAGCCGAAGGCAGCCACAGCCCUACUGGAACCAGGGUUUCUCUGCCUCCUGGGAAGAGGUCAGUGGAUGGGUUGGGGAGGGGGACAGGCGGCCUUCCUGUGGGAGUCGAAGAGCCUGGGGCCUCCCCUCCUUGGAGGCGACCAGACACCUUCCCUAACUGGAGGAAAUUCUGAACCCCAGACCUGGAAAGUUCAAAGCUGAAAUAAAAUCGCCCCUUGUUUUGCGA
rnacentral:lncRNA from 10 species